AUGCAGACCAAGCAGGCAAGCAAAGGCAACGAGGCGGGCACGCCUUCCCUUCCCCGCCUCCACUACCCUCCAAACUGCCAAGCGAAACUAUCCCCCGAAAAAAUCCUACAAAUCGACGCACCCCGUCCACAGAAACAACAGAUUGCCACAACCCCCCGUCCACACACACCCAUCGAAACCUCUUCUUCUUCCAACUCCUACCAGCACCAGCAAAGCCAAGAAGUACAGCUCCUCCUCCCCUCCCCUGUAGCUGCUUCGCCGUUUCCGGGAGGUUCUUGGAUUGGUUUUUCGGCAGAGAUGGUUUCGCCCGUCGUGAUCGCGUCGGCGGGGCUCGGGAUGCUGGCGGGCGUGGCGUUGGCGAGCCGGGGGACGGGCGACGGGCUGCCGGCGUCGUCCAGAUGGGACGCGCGGCCCCGUUGCUCCACGUGCAGCGGCACCGGCCGGGAGGAGUGCCUCUGCAGCCGCUGGUCCGACGGCGACGUCGGCUGCGGGACGUGCUCUGGGUCCGGCCGCAAGCGGUGCCGCAGCUGCGGAGGCUCUGGCACCGGCCGGCCGCUCCCGGCGCGACUCAUCGUCCAGGAGCAGAAGCUGCCGACCGCGCCAGGGCGACGCGGAGACUACAACUGA
rnacentral:rRNA from 1 species